GCAUCGGGAAGAGGGAAAAGGAGCAAUCCGCUUUGAGAUGGCCUCGCGUCCGAUUAGCUAGUUGGUGAGGUAACGGCCCACCAAGGCAACGAUCGGUAGCCGGACUGAGAGGUUGAACGGCCACAUUGGGACUGAGACACGGCCCAGACUCCUACGGGAGGCAGCAGUGGGGAAUAUUGCACAAUGGGGGAAACCCUGAUGCAGCGACGCCGCGUGGAGGAAGAAGGUCUUCGGAUUGUAAACUCCUGUUGUUGAGGAAGAUAAUGACGGUACUCAACAAGGAAGUGACGGCUAACUACGUGCCAGCAGCCGCGGUAAAACGUAGGUCACAAGCGUUGUCCGGAAUUACUGGGUGUAAAGGGAGCGCAGGCGGGAAGACAAGUUGGAAGUGAAAUCCAUGGGCUCAACCCAUGAACUGCUUUCAAAACUGUUUUUCUUGAGUAGUGCAGAGGUAGGCGGAAUUCCCGGUGUAGCGGUGGAAUGCGUAGAUAUCGGGAGGAACACCAGUGGCGAAGGCGGCCUACUGGGCACCAACUGACGCUGAGGCUCGAAAGUGUGGGUAGCAAACAGGAUUAGAUACCCUGGUAGUCCACACCGUAAACGAUGAUUACUAGGUGUUGGAGGAUUGACCCCUUCAGUGCCG
rnacentral:rRNA from 1 species